rnacentral:rRNA from 1 species
GACAGAGGGGGCAAGCGUUGUUCGGAAUCAUUGGGCGUAAAGGGCGCGUAGGUGGUUCUGUAUGUCUGCCGUGAAAGCGUACGGCUCAACCGUAUUUUGUCGGUAGAAACUGCAGGACUUGAGGCUGGGAGGGGCUGGUGGAAUUCCCUGUGUAGCGGUGAAAUGCGUAGAGAUGGGGGAGAACACUCGUGGCGAAGGCGGCCAGCUAGACCAGUUCUGACACUGAGGCGCGACAGCGUGGGGAGCAAACAGG